CUGCAUGGCUGUCGUCAGCUCGUGUCGUGAGAUGUUGGGUUAAGUCCCGCAACGAGCGCAACCCUUGUCCCUAGUUGCUACGCAAGGGCACUCUAGGGAGACUGCCGGUGACAAACCGGAGGAAGGUGGGGAUGACGUCAAGUCCUCAUGGCCCUUAUGGGUAGGGCUUCACACGUCAUACAAUGGCCGGUACAGAGGGUUGCCAAAGCGCGAGCUGGAGCCAAUCCCCAGAAAAGCCGGUCGUAGUCCGGAUUGCAGUCUGCAACUCGACUGCAUGAAGUCGGAAUCGCUAGUAAUCGCGGAUCAGCAUGUCGCGGUGAAUACGUUCCCGGGUCUUGUACACACCGCCCGUCACACCAUGGGAGUGGGUUCUACCAGAAGUAGGUAGGCUAACCGCGAGG
rnacentral:rRNA from 1 species